AUACUUACCCCGCAGGGAAGAUACCGUGACCACAAAGGUGGUUUUCCCAGGGCGAGGCUUGUCCACUGCACUCCAGAUGUACUGAUCCCUGCAGUUUCCCCAAAUGUGGGAAACCUGACUGCAUAAUUUACGGUAGUGAGGAACUGCAGUCACACUCUCCCCA
rnacentral:snRNA from 1 species